rnacentral:rRNA from 1 species
AGUCGAGCGAACAGACGAGGAGCUUGCUCCUCUGACGUUAGCGGCGGACGGGUGAGUAACACGUGGAUAACCAACCUAUAAGACUGGGAUAACUUCGGGAAACCGGAGCUAAUACCGGAUAAUAUAUUGAACCGCAUGGUUCAAUAGUGAAAGACGGUUUUGCUGUCACUUAUAGAUGGAUCCGCGCCGCAUUAGCUAGUUGGUAAGGUAACGGCUUACCAAGGCAACGAUGCGUAGCCGACCUGAGAGGGUGAUCGGCCACACUGGAACUGAGACACGGUCCAGACUCCUACGGGAGGCAGCAGUAGGGAAUCUUCCGCAAUGGGCGAAAGCCUGACGGAGCAACGCCGCGUGAGUGAUGAAGGUCUUCGGAUCGUAAAACUCUGUUAUUAGGGAAGAACAAAUGUGUAAGUAACUAUGCACGUCUUGACGGUACCUAAUCAGAAAGCCACGGCUAACUACGUGCCAGCAGCCGCGGUAAUACGUAGGUGGCAAGCGUUAUCCGGAAUUAUUGGGCGUAAAGCGCGCGUAGGCGGUUUUUUAAGUCUGAUGUGAAAGCCCACGGCUCAACCGUGGAGGGUCAUUGGAAACUGGAAAACUUGAGUGCAGAAGAGGAAAGUGGAAUUCCAUGUGUAGCGGUGAAAUGCGCAGAGAUAUGGAGGAACACCAGUGGCGAAGGCGACUUUCUGGUCUGUAACUGACGCUGAUGUGCGAAAGCGUGGGGAUC